rnacentral:lncRNA from 1 species
AAAAAAUUAUAAAUACUAUGCUUAUGGUUCAUUAAUGAAUGAAAUAGGAAAAAAAAAAAAGAAGUUAAACUGAAGUGCUAUAGAAAGAAUACAAAUCUUUCUAUGUGCCAUGGAAGCUUACCUUAUUUUCUCAUCUGUAAGCACUCACUGAUUAUAAAAUUCAAUAUUGAUUAAUGAUUUCUCAAGAAAACUAAUGUAACUUUGAAAUAUGUCCUGAUUUCAAAUAUGUUAAAACAUAGAAACUGCAUACAUUUUAGAACUGUGGAAAUAUUAUAUGUUGCAUCUGAGCUGGAGAAACAUGAAAUAAUGAAGUCUUAGUUUGUUAUUGUAAAUAAAAGGAAGAUAAAUGUCGUUUGGGGGGGAAUUUUUAUUCUUGUUAACUCUGUAUGUCGUCUUUCCCUAUUCUUCAUCCCCACUCAAAAACUAAGAGAACUGGAAGAAUAAGGAGGUUCUAUUCCCCAGUUAUGGUUAUAUUUUCAACAAUAUUGUUGGGAAAAAGUAAAGUCAGCAAAUAUUAGAUGUUCUGUAACAAUUACAUCAAAGAAUGUUGCAUUUACAACCCACCAAACUUAAACAUUCGAGAAAGGGUUACAUACCAGAAGUACUCAGAUAACAUAAUGCAAUACAUGCCUACCAGUAGAACCUCUGGGUGUGAACUUAGUCAUCUGUGUUAAACCUCUACUUUAAUAUUGAUGCAAGGGAGAUUUUGGAAACACUAUGGUGAA